rnacentral:rRNA from 1 species
ACAGGCUUAACACAUGCAAGUCGAGGGGAAGCGACAUCGAAAGCUUGCUUUUGAUGGGCGUCGACCGGCGCACGGGUGAGUAACGCGUAUCCAACCUGCCCACCACUUGGGGAUAACCUUGCGAAAGUAAGACUAAUACCCAAUGAUAUCUCUAGAAGACAUCUGAAAGAGAUUAAAGAUUUAUCGGUGAUGGAUGGGGAUGCGUCUGAUUAGCUUGUUGGCGGGGUAACGGCUCACCAAGGCGACGAUCAGUAGGGGUUCUGAGAGGAAGGUCCCCCACAUUGGAACUGAGACACGGUCCAAACUCCUACGGGAGGCAGCAGUGAGGAAUAUUGGUCAAUGGGCGAGAGCCUGAACCAGCCA